GUUUUGACUUCGCGCCGCACGUCUUGGUAAUUGGAGCCGCAGAGCUCCGUGGCCGCUGAGAGAGAUUUAUAUGUUUUUAAUGACUUGGAUUCUUUGCGGGUCCCGCCUCCGUACCCCGCGACGGUAACACUGGAGGCAAAAGACAGUAGAU